UCAAGCUACUAAGGGCACACGGUGGAUGCCUUGGCGCAAGCAAGCGAUGAAGGACGUGGCUGGCUGCGAAAAGCUCCGGGGAGCCGCCUAGCAGGCUUUGAUCCGGAGAUGUCCGAAUGGGGCAACCCGGCAUCCUUAAUCGGAUGUCAUCGCGCGCUGAAUUCAUAGGCGCGUGGAAGCGAACGCAGGGAAGUGAAACAUCUCAGUACCUGCAGGAAGAGAAAUCAAAACAGAGAUUCCCUCAGUAGCGGCGAGCGAACGGGGAACAGCCCAAACCACACCUAGCGAUAGGUGUGGGGUUGUGGGGCUGCUUCAGGGUUUACCCGGGAAGUUAUCAAGAUUGCCGAUAGUCAAAGGCCCCUGGAAAGGGCAACCAUAGAGGGUGAUAGUCCCGUAGGCGAAAUCGGCGAUCCUUCCUGGAAGCAGUUCCCGAGUACCGCGGAACACGUGCAAUUCCGUGGGAAGCCGGCAGGACCAUCUGCCAAGGCUAAAUAUGAGCUUGCGACCGAUAGCGUACCAGUACCGUGAGGGAAAGGCGAAAAGAACCCCGGUGAGGGGAGUGAAAUAGAACCUGAAACCGUGUGCCUACAAGCAGUGGAAGCCAGGUGAGAUUGGGAGCAAUCCCUUUCUCCGGGUGACCGCGUGCCUUUUGCUUAAUGAGUCUGCGACUUACUAGGCGUGGCAAGGUUAAGCCGUAAAGAGGUGUAGCCGUAGCGAAAGCGAGUUCGAAUAGAGCGUCAAGUCGCGUUUAGUAGACCCGAAGCGGGAUGAUCUACCCAUGGUCAGGGUAAAGCGGCAGUAAAAUGCCGUGGCGGCCCGAACCGGUGAAGAUUGAAAACUUCUCGGAUGAACUGUGGGUAGGGGUGAAAGGCUAAUCAAAUUCCGUGAUAGCUGGUUCUCCUCGAAAUAUAUUGAGGUAUAGCCUCAGAUGAUGCCUGGUGGAGGUAGAGCACUGGAUGGGCUAGGGUCCUUACCAGGAUACCAAACCUAACCAAACUCCGAAUGCCACCAAGGUUAAUCUGGGAGUCAGACUACGGGCGAUAAGGUCCGUGGUCGAAAGGGAAACAGCCCAGACCGCCAGCUAAGGUCCCAAAGUUGAUGCUAAGUGGGAAAGGAUGUGGGAACGCAGAGACAACCAGGAGGUUGGCUUAGAAGCAGCCAUCCUUUAAAGAAAGCGUAACAGCUCACUGGUCAAGCGAACCUGCGCCGAAAAUGUAACGGGGCUUAAGCAUCGCGCCGAAGCCGCGGGCUCGUGCAAACGAGCGGUAGAGGAGCAUUCUGGUUGCCAGCGAAGUACGACCGGCAAGGACGUAUGGAGGCCCCAGAAGUGAUUAUGCAGACACGAGUAGCGAUAAAGAAGGUUAGAAACCUUCUCGCCGUGAGUCCAAGGUUUCCUGGGUAAAGUUAAUCUUCUCAGGGUUAGUCGGUGCCUAAGCCGAGGCUGAAAAGCGUAGGCGAUGGAAAGCAGGUUAAUAUUCCUGCACCACCAGUUGAUCGUUUGAGCGAUGGGGUGACGGAGAAGGGUAGGUCAUCCGGGUGUUGGAUGUCCCGGUGCAAACCCGUAGGCGGAAGCGGUAGGUAAAUCCGCUGCUUCAUUAACGCCGAGAGGUGAUGUCGAGCGAUUCCGUCAGGUCUCGCGAAGUGACUGAGCCCAUGCUCCCUAGAAAAACCUCUAAGCGAGAUCAUCUGGUGACCGUACCACAAACCGACUCAGGUGGACGGGUAGAGCAUACCAAGGCGCUUGUGAGAAUUGUGGUUAAGGAACUCAGCAAAUUGACACCGUAACUUCGGAAGAAGGUGUGCCUGCUGAUGUUAUGGACUUCGCGUCCAGAAGCAUCGGCGGGUCGCAGAGAGCAGUGGGUAGCGACUGUUUAGCAAAAACACAGGACUAUGCUAAGCCGCAAGGCGAUGUAUAUGGUCUGACGCCUGCCCGGUGCCGGAAGGUUAAGGGGACCCGUUAGUCCGUAAGGGCGAGGCGGGGAACCGAAGCCCCGGUAAACGGCGGCCGUAACUAUAACGGUCCUAAGGUAGCGAAAUUCCUUGUCGGGUAAGUUCCGACCUGCACGAAUGGCGUAACGACUUCCCA
rnacentral:rRNA from 1 species